rnacentral:rRNA from 1 species
AUUGAACGCUGGCGGCAUGCUUUACACAUGCAAGUCGAACGGUAACAGGGAGCUUGCUCCGCUGACGAGUGGCGAACGGGUGAGUAAUGCGUCGGAACGUGCCGAGUAGUGGGGGAUAACGCAGCGAAAGUUGUGCUAAUACCGCAUACGUACUGAGGUAGAAAGUGGGGGACCUUCGGGCCUCACGCUAUUCGAGCGGCCGACGUCUGAUUAGCUAGUAGGUGAGGUAAAGGCUCACCUAGGCGACGAUCAGUAGCGGGUCUGAGAGGAUGAUCCGCCACACUGGGGCUGAGACACGGCCCAGACUCCUACGGGAGGCAGCAGGGGGGAAUUUUGGACAAUGGGCGAAAGCCUGAUCCAGCCAUGCCGCGUGUCUGAAGAAGGCCUUCGGGUUGUAAAGGACUUUUGUCAGGGAGGAAAUCCCUAGUGCUAAUAACACUGGGGGAUGACAGUACCUGAAGAAUAAGCACCGGCUAACUCCGUGCCAGCCGCCGCGGUAACAC